GGGUUGUGAGGUUAAGCGACCAAGCGUACACGGUGGAUGCCCUGGCAGUCAGAGGCGAUGAAGGACGUGCUAAUCUGCGAUAAGCGCCGGUAAGGUGAUAUGAACCGUUAUAACCGGCGAUUUCCGAAUGGGGAAACCCAGUGUGAUUCGUCACACUAUCAUUAACUGAAUCCAUAGGUUAAUGAAGCGAACCGGGGGAACUGAAACAUCUAAGUACCCCGAGGAAAAGAAAUCAACCGAGAUUCCCCCAGUAGCGGCGAGCGAACGGGGAGGAGCCCAGAGCCUGAAUCAGCAUGUGUGUUAGUGGAAGCGUCUGGAAAGGCGCGCGAUACAGGGUGACAGCCCCGUACACAAAAGCGCAUGUGCUGUGAGCUCGAUGAGUAGGGCGGGACACGUGGUAUCCUGUCUGAAUAUGGGGGGACCAUCCUCCAAGGCUAAAUACUCCUGACUGACCGAUAGUGAACCAGUACCGUGAGGGAAAGGCGAAAAGAACCCCGGCGAGGGGAGUGAAACAGAACCUGAAACCGUGUACGUACAAGCAGUGGGAGCACAGGUUUACCUGUGUGACUGCGUACCUUUUGUAUAAUGGGUCAGCGACUUAUAUUCUGUAGCAAGGUUAACCGCAUAGGGGAGCCGAAGGGAAACCGAGUCUUAAUUGGGCGUUAAGUUGCAGGGUAUAGACCCGAAACCCGGUGAUCUAGCCAUGGGCAGGUUGAAGGUUGGGUAACACUAACUGGAGGACCGAACCGACUAAUGUUGAAAAAUUAGCGGAUGACCUGUGGCUGGGGGUGAAAGGCCAAUCAAACCGGGAGAUAGCUGGUUCUCCCCGAAAGCUAUUUAGGUAGCGCCUCGUGAAUUCAUCUCCGGGGGUAGAGCACUGUUUCGGCUAGGGGGCCAUCCCGGCUUACCAACCCGAUGCAAACUGCGAAUACCGGAGAAUGUUAUCACGGGAGACACACGGCGGGUGCUAACGUCCGUCGUGAAGAGGGAAACAACCCAGACCGCCAGCUAAGGUCCCAAAGUCAUGGUUAAGUGGGAAACGAUGUGGGAAGGCCCAGACAGCCAGGAUGUUGGCUUAGAAGCAGCCAUCAUUUAAAGAAAGCGUAAUAGCUCACUGGUCGAGUCGGCCUGCGCGGAAGAUGUAACGGGGCUAAACCAUGCACCGAAGCUGCGGCAGCGACACUGUGUGUUGUUGGGUAGGGGAGCGUUCUGUAAGCCUGUGAAGGUGGCCUGUGAGGGUUGCUGGAGGUAUCAGAAGUGCGAAUGCUGACAUAAGUAACGAUAAAGCGGGUGAAAAGCCCGCUCGCCGGAAGACCAAGGGUUCCUGUCCAACGUUAAUCGGGGCAGGGUGAGUCGACCCCUAAGGCGAGGCCGAAAGGCGUAGUCGAUGGGAAACGGGUUAAUAUUCCCGUACUUGGUGUUACUGCGAAGGGGGGACGGAGAAGGCUAUGUUGGCCGGGCGACGGUUGUCCCGGUUUAAGCAUGUAGGCGGAUGUUCCAGGUAAAUCCGGAACGUUACUAACGCUGAGGUGUGAUGACGAGGCACCACGGUGCUGAAGCAACAAAUGCCCUGCUUCCAGGAAAAGCCUCUAAGCAUCAGGUAACAUCAAAUCGUACCCCAAACCGACACAGGUGGUCAGGUAGAGAAUACCAAGGCGCUUGAGAGAACUCGGGUGAAGGAACUAGGCAAAAUGGUGCCGUAACUUCGGGAGAAGGCACGCUGACACGUAGGUGAAGUGGUUUACCCAUGGAGCUGAAGUCAGUCGAAGAUACCAGCUGGCUGCAACUGUUUAUUAAAAACACAGCACUGUGCAAACACGAAAGUGGACGUAUACGGUGUGACGCCUGCCCGGUGCCGGAAGGUUAAUUGAUGGGGUCAGCGCAAGCGAAGCUCCUGAUCGAAGCCCCGGUAAACGGCGGCCGUAACUAUAACGGUCCUAAGGUAGCGAAAUUCCUUGUCGGGUAAGUUCCGACCUGCACGAAUGGCGUAAUGAUGGCCAGGCUGUCUCCACCCGAGACUCAGUGAAAUUGAACUCGCUGUGAAGAUGCAGUGUACCCGCGGCAAGACGGAAAGACCCCGUGAACCUUUACUAUAGCUUGACACUGAACAUUGAGCCUUGAUGUGUAGGAUAGGUGGGAGGCUUUGAAGCGUGGACGCCAGUCUGCGUGGAGCCAACCUUGAAAUACCACCCUUUAAUGUUUGAUGUUCUAACGUGGACCCGUAAUCCGGGUUGCGGACAGUGUCUGGUGGGUAGUUUGACUGGGGCGGUCUCCUCCUAAAGAGUAACGGAGGAGCACGAAGGUUGGCUAAUCCUGGUCGGACAUCAGGAGGUUAGUGCAAUGGCAUAAGCCAGCUUGACUGCGAGCGUGACGGCGCGAGCAGGUGCGAAAGCAGGUCAUAGUGAUCCGGUGGUUCUGAAUGGAAGGGCCAUCGCUCAACGGAUAAAAGGUACUCCGGGGAUAACAGGCUGAUACCGCCCAAGAGUUCAUAUCGACGGCGGUGUUUGGCACCUCGAUGUCGGCUCAUCACAUCCUGGGGCUGAAGUAGGUCCCAAGGGUAUGGCUGUUCGCCAUUUAAAGUGGUACGCGAGCUGGGUUUAGAACGUCGUGAGACAGUUCGGUCCCUAUCUGCCGUGGGCGCUGGAGAACUGAGGGGGGCUGCUCCUAGUACGAGAGGACCGGAGUGGACGCAUCACUGGUGUUCGGGUUGUCAUGCCAAUGGCACUGCCCGGUAGCUAAAUGCGGAAGAGAUAAGUGCUGAAAGCAUCUAAGCACGAAACUUGCCCCGAGAUGAGUUCUCCCUGAGACUUUGAGUCUCCUGAAGGAACGUUAAAGACGAUGACGUUGAUAGGCCGGGUGUGUAAGCGCAGCGAUGCGUUGAGCUAACCGGUACUAAUGAACCGUGAGGCUUAACCUUACAACGCCGAAGCUGUU
rnacentral:rRNA from 1 species